rnacentral:rRNA from 1 species
AUUGAACGCUGGCGGCAGGCCUAACACAUGCAAGUCGAACGGUAACAGGAAGCAGCUUGCUGCUUCGCUGACGAGUGGCGGACGGGUGAGUAAUGUCUGGGAAACUGCCUGAUGGAGGGGGAUAACCACUGGAAACGGUAGCUAAUACCGCAUAACGUCGCAAGACCAAAGAGGGGGACCUUAGGGCCUCUUGCCAUCGGAUGUGCCCAGAUGGGAUUAGCUAGUAGGUGGGGUAACGGCUCACCUAGGCGACGAUCCCUAGCUGGUCUGAGAGGAUGACCAGCCACACUGGAACUGAGACACGGUCCAGACUCCUACGGGAGGCAGCAGUGGGGAAUAUUGCACAAUGGGCGCAAGCCUGAUGCAGCCAUGCCGCGUGUAUGAAGAAGGCCUUCGGGUUGUAAAGUACUUUCAGCGGGGAGGAAGGGAGUAAAGUUAAUACCUUUGCUCAUUGACGUUACCCGCAGAAGAAGCGCCGGCUAACUCCGUG